AACAAAGACCAAAUAUAUUUAUCAUGCUACAGUUCCACCUAAGUUUGGGCCUUAAUUUUAAGCCUUACCUCAAGUAUGCAUCCAAAACCAGGUAGUGUGUAAUUCCCUCUCCUUGUGACCAAAAGAAUGUGUUAAAAGUGAUGUCGUGUUGUUUCUAAGAAGACAGGUCAUAAUGCUUCUUAGAAUUCUUCUCAGGACUAUCUCAUAACCCAUCUGUGAAGCAGGGAGAAGUUCAAGCUUCUUCAUGAAGAGGAUCAGAUCAAGGUUGCCAAUUGACAGUUUCUGGAUUUUCUCCUUAGUAGCCGGGAGAUUGUCAGUGGGGUCUGGGACAAAGGGACCAGAGGAAGGAAACCCUUAAGGAGUUCACAGUUGACACUGCCAAAAAGAAAUUGGAAGAGUACAAAGUCUUGUCAAAAGGCCAUCCAAAAUUUAUAUGGAAUCUCAAGGGACCCUGAAUAGCAACAGCAAUAUUAAAUGAAAACAAAGCUGGAGGACUCAAAAUUCCUUAUUUCAAAACUCACUACAAAGAUACAGUAAUUAAAAUGCUGUGCUACUGGCAUAAAGAAAGACAUAUAGAGCAAUGGAAUAGAAUAAAACCCAGAAAUAAACCUCCACUCAUAUGAACAAAUGAUUUUUAACAAGAAUGCCAAGACAUUCAAUGAGAAAAUAACAGUUUUUCAACAAGUGAUGCUGGGAAAACUGAAUGUUCACAUGCAAAACAAAACAAAAAAAUGAAGUCGAAUCCUUAACACCAUAUGCAAAACUUAAAAUGAAUCAAAGUUCAAAACAUAAGACAUAAAGCUAUAAAACUCUUAGAAGAAAAUCCAGGUCAAAGUCUUUCCAACACCGGAUUUGGCAGUAAUGUCUUGUAUAUGACAGCAAAGGCACAGGCAACAACAAAAAAAUGUAGACAAAUGUGGAUUUCAUAAAAAUCGAAAAACCAAACAACACUAUUGAUGGAGUGAAAAGUUAACCCUAAAUUGGACAAAAUAUUGCAAAUCAUAUAUCUGGUAAGUUAUUGAAAUCAAGAAUAUAUAGAGAACUUCUAAAACCCAGUAACAAAAUCCAAUUCAAAUAUGAGCAAAAUACUUGAAUGGACAUUUCUCUAAAGAUAUGCAGAUGAUCCAUAUGAAAAUUGAAAGAUGUUCAACCUCAUGAUCAUUACAGAAAUACGAAUCAAAACUAUAAUAAAAUAUCAACACACACCCAUUACAAU
rnacentral:lncRNA from 1 species